UACGUAGGGGGCAAGCGUUGUCCGGAGUUACUGGGCGUAAAGCGCUCGCAGGCGGUGUUCGGCGUCCGCAGUGCCAGCUCUGUGCUUCACACAGGGAGUGCUGCGGAAACGGGAACACUUGAGGGCCAGAGAGGGACAUGGAACUCCGGGUGGAGUGGUGAAAUGCGUAGAGAUCCGGAAGAACACCAAAGGCGAAGGCAGUGUCCUGGCUGGCUCCUGACGCUGAGGAGCGAGAGCUAGGGGAGCGAACAGG
rnacentral:rRNA from 1 species